AUGGACGGGCGGUGGUGGAAGAGGGCCAGGAACGCGUUCGCCAAAGUCCCCGAAAUUGUGUGCUUCCUCAACGACAUGAGAAUCGGCGGUUGCCUGGAGGAGUUUGGGACGGCGAGGGAGCAGUGCCGUGGACGGGAACGGCGGAGAUCCAUGGCCGACACGAAGCCCGGAGAGGUCGUCUCGUGCGCCAAGGCGACGGCCGCGCUGCGCAAGUGCAUGGAGGGCAAGGACGUCUUGGCCAAGCACCUCGUCGCCAUGGAUGACGGCAUCAGGGAGGACGAGUGGCAGGGGUGGGAUCCCUAUAUGCAGGCCAAGCGGGCCGCGAGGUAUAGAUGGUGGACCGGCAUGAAGAACUGUGAAGAAGAGUACUACUAG
rnacentral:rRNA from 1 species